rnacentral:rRNA from 1 species
UUUUCCACGAAAUCUUUCCUAAUUUAAAAUUGAAAUUAUUGGGGAAUGAAAAGAUGUUAAUACCAAAUGGGUCUAGACCAUUAAUGUAACACACUUAUGAGAAAAGGGGGGCUUUUUUAAUGGGCCUCACCACCCCCCCCUGAGAAAUCCAAGUUUUUGGGUUCCCGGGGGAGUAUGGUCGCAAGGCCGAAACUUAAAGGAAUUUACGGAAGGGCCCCCCCCGGAGUGGGGCCUGCGGCUUAAUUUGACUCAACCCGGGAAAACUUUCCCGGUCCCGACAUAGGUAGGGUUGGCAGAAUGGGAACUCUUUCAUGGUUUUAUGGGGGGGGGGCCCCGGCCGUUUUUAGUGGGGGGGGUGAUUUUUUUGGUUAAUUCCGUUAACGAACGAGACCUCGGCCUACAAAAAAAUGCGGGGGAUGGCAACAUAGGGCGUUUUUAGUUUUUAAAGGGGCCAGUUCCGUUUUCCGGGCAGGAGGUUGGGGGCAAAACCGGUUCCUGGAGGCCCUUAAAUUUUUUGGCCCCCCCCCCGGUUCCCUUGAGGGGUUCUUCGGGUUUUAUUUUUUAUUUAUGGAAUUGAGUGCUUGGUCGGAAGGCCUGGCUAAUCCUUGGAACGCUCAUCGUGCUGGGGCUAGAUUUUUGCAAUUAUUAAUCUCCAACGAGGAAUUCCUAGUAAACGCAAGUCAUCAGCUUGCAUUGAAUACGUCCCUGCCCUUUGUACACACCGCCCGUCGCACCUACCGAUUGAACGGUCCGAUGAAAUCCAUGGGAUGUUUCUGUUUGGAUUAAUUUUUGACAGAGGCAGAACUCGGGUGAAUCAUAUGUAGAGAAAGUAAGGG